GGGCGGUUAGCUCAGCUGGUUAGAGCACUGCAUUGACAUUGCAGAGGUCACAGGUUCGAUCCCUGUAUCGCCCACCA
rnacentral:tRNA from 1 species